GCUUGUGACUUCGACCUGAAGUUUACUUUCAUCUCAUUACACUAUCGCAGAAUGUAAUGUUUGCUUGUGACUUCGACCUGAAGUUUACUUUCAUCUCAUCUGGUUGGGAAGGAUCCGCAUCAGAUGCAGGGGUGUUGCGGUCUGCUCUUGGCAAGGGGUUUACUAUGCCGGAUGGUAAAUUCUAUCUUGUAGACGGUGGAUAUGCAAACACACCAUCAUUCCUUGCUCCCUACCGAGGAGUUAAGUAUCAUCUCAGUGAGUUUAGGAGACGUGGCCAGAGGAGAAAGGCAUAUGCCAACUACAAGGAAUUAUUCAAUCAUCGGCAUGCGAUUCUUCGAAAUCACAUUGAGAGGGCCUUUAGGGUUCUCAAAAAGCGGUUUCCAAUUCUGAAAGUGGGGACACAUUACCCAAUUGAAUCCCAAGUUAAGAUUCCAGCAGCUGCUGCUGUGUUUCACAACAUCAUUAGAGGGUUGAAUGGGAGUGAAGAGUGGUUUGACUACCUACCUGAUAAUAUCAACCCAUCAGAUUAUGUCGACUUGCCAGAGGGAGACACUAACUACCCAAGUGAGAUGGAAUCAAACCAUGGAAAUAUCCUACGAGACCAGAUAGCCCAUCAGAUGUGGGCUGCUUACAAUGUGUAGGAUAGUAGUGUUAGGAAUAUAAUUUAUGAGUUCUAAGUUAUGUAUUUAUGUAAUACAUUCUGUGAUGCAACAGUCUAUAAUAAGUUCUCCAAUACAUUCUAUAAUAUUUAUUGCAACAAU
rnacentral:lncRNA from 1 species